UACGAAGGGUGCGAGCGUUAAUCGGAAUUACUGGGCGUAAAGCGUGCGCAGGCGGUUCGUUGUGUCGGCGGUGAAAGCCCCGGGCUCAACCUGGGAAUGGCCGUUGAAACUGGCGAACUGGAGUGUGGCAGAGGGGGGUGGAAUUCCGCGUGUAGCAGUGAAAUGCGUAGAGAUGCGGAGGAACACCGAUGGCGAAGGCAGCCCCCUGGGCUGACACUGACGCUCAGGCACGAAAGCGUGGGGAGCAAACAGG
rnacentral:rRNA from 1 species